AUUUGUGUGUUUGUUGUGUUGACUGUGUGCCCCUUUGAGUUCGUGUGGUGUUCGUUUGGUUGUAGAGAUCGUGAUCUGCUUUAACCGGUCUCUAUGGAAGGCGGUCUCCGUGGAAGGGUUGUUUGGAGUUUGUGGUUCUUUCUUCGUUAUUUUGUGCAAUGGCUUUGACCCCUAACAUUCGUUUGUCUGUUUACUUUGAUAUUUUCAUUAUAGAGGAAUUUUACCAUUUUUUUAGGAGAUAUUCAAGUGGGCUAUGAUUUGAAUGGGGAAUGGAUGCCAACGUUGAGAAGUGGAGCUAGAAGGUUGAAACGGCUCCGUAUCCAAAGGGUCUCCAUAUCCAAGAUUGUUGGAGUUUUCAAGAUUGUCGUAAUUCCACUGUUGGGUCAACUUUCAAAUGAGCAUGGUUCGAAACCGUUUUUGCUCCUUUUUAUCAUCUUCACACGCUUGAUGACUAUGGUCCAUCAAUGAGAGAAAUGAGUCAUCCUUUUGUGAGAGCAUCAUUUAAUGCAGCUAGAGAGGAAGUAAGGAAGAGAGCACAUUCAAAGUCAGCAACCAAUGAAAAACAGAAAAAAGAUGUUGAUGAUGGUUUAGAUGCUGUUCUAGAGAAACAAGAAGCUGAAAUUAAAGCACUUGAUGAAGAAUUGGCUGCAUUGAAGACUGAGUUGAUUGAGGAGAGAAAUAAAUAUUGUGAUGAUUACAGUACCCCAUAUUGUGAUGAUUACAAUACCCCAUGUAACCAAAAUGAGUAUAGCAACAACUUUGGCCGUGAGGGAGAAGAUUGCACCAAUCAAACUGUU